GCAAGUAACGUUUCUGCCUGGAUUUUUCGUCCGUCGGACUAUUUUUCAAAAAAACCCCUAACAUUUCGUGAUAUCAACCUGCAGUCCAAUUCUGAGUAUAAGGGGCUCGAGUGGAAAAAAAAUAGGAAAACGAGGGAUUAAAGCGAAAAGAGUUCCGCUCCCUCGUUUCCCUCCCCUCCCUCGGGGGAUCGAGAUCCGCCGCACUCCGUCCGGCUCCGGUCCCGUCCCUCGGGGGAUCUAGACGCCGCCGCUCCGUCCGGCCCUCCACCCAGCUCCCUCGUUCCCCUCCCCUUCCUCCGCCACCCUCCCUCUGGGGAUCUAGCCGCCGCCGCUCCGUCCGCCCUCCACCCCAUGUCCACCGACGACCUCCCGCCAUCCUCCGACAUCGACGUCAUCAUCCUCCGUCGACUUCCCGCCGCCGCUCCGUCCGGAUCCGGGGCCUCCGGUCGAUUCCCACCUUCGCCCUCCACCCUUGGUCCCGAGGUCGGAUGCGCCCAACCCCUUGAGGGUGGAACUCCGCCUCGCCCGACCCUUGGUCCCGGGGUCGGAUGCGCCUGACCCCUUGAGGGUGGAACUCCGCCUCGCCCGACCCUUGGUCCCGAGGUCGGAUGCGCCCGACCCCUUAGUCCCGAGGUCGGAUCCGCCUCGCCCGACCCUGAGUCCUGGGGUCGGGAGUGUCCGACCCCUGAGCGGAACGUUGGAGUAGUCCGAGGCGAAGUCGAAUCCGACGUGUAGUCGAACUCGAACUGGUUGACUUUGAACGUCUCCUCCUCCUCCACUUCCAGGAGGAGGCUCCCGCCCGUCGAGAAUGGCCACGGCAGCGCAGGUCUUGCAAAUGAAAAUUCUUUGAAAACGAACAAACGUAUAAUAACGUGACAGCAAGUUGGAGGAGGCUCCCGCCCGUCGAGAAUGGCCACGGCAGCGCAGGUCUUGCAAAUGAAAAUUCUUGUUCAAAGUUCAAAAAUGGUACGAACAAAC
rnacentral:lncRNA from 1 species